AACUGUUCUAGUAAGAAUGGUGUCAGAAUUAAUAUUUAUAAUUGUGAAUACUUUGCACUAAUUAAUAAAUGCAAUAUAUUUUGUAGGGAACUGGUGAUGUGAAGCGACAGUCUCAUCUGCAAUCCUUUUGUGUGGUAUCGGUACCUCUGUGUUUGAUACUUCGGUUAUAUGUAUGUUGUUGGGAAAGGAAAAGUGCUGUGUAAGGCUUUACGUGAAUUCAAACUUUUAAACUGUCUAAAUCUGUUACUUUUCGUCCAAUACACGUACAAUUUGGAUUUAUAUAAAGUCCAGGAAGUGCAAUGAUAUUUUUAGAGAAAGAGAGAAAUCAACC
rnacentral:lncRNA from 1 species